GUUAUUUUCGGGAUGCCUCUGUGGUAUCUCCAACCUGAUUGUCCCACUCUGUGACGGUCCCGCCACUCUCCAUAUCAGCAGCGCUGUAAAUGGACUGGCUAUAGGAGGUUGGAUGGGCGUUUUAAUGCUAGUGGCUGUGGAACUGUUUGGUGUUAAUAAUUUGUCAAGAGUAUUUGGCAUGAACAUGAUGUGUGAAGGAGUGGGGUCAUUGGUAGGACCACCAUUACAAAGUUACCUAGCAACGAUAUUUGGGAAGGAAACCCCAUUUUACACCGCUGGAAUAGCUCUCGCCGUGUCAACAAGUUGUAUUAUUGUAUCGAUAAUACAAACGCGGAAGACAUCUUGUACUUUAGGAGGGCUACCUACAGAGACUGUGACUGCUGGUGUCGAUAACGUGGGUUUCAGUCCAGACAAACCUACGUACUGAAGUGACGAUACCUUCAGUGUAUAUUGGUGUGUGGUGAAUCUCUGUGCCGUUGCAUGUAGCGGCCUAAGCUAAAAAAAUUAAACACAUCCGUGAUGUUGCCUCGAUAAAGAAUACAACAUAUAA